ACUUCCUGUUCCCAGAGGAUCUGUGUCUGCCAGAUAACUUCCUGUGAGCUCGCUCCUCUCUUCCUCUCUCAGCUGUUCAUCAUGAUGAAGUUCAGGAUCCCGUCUCUGAGAUCAGCUGCUGCUCUGCUCUCCGCACCUGGACCUGCUGCUCAGCCCUGUGUGCGUCUGUCUACCGGUCCCCAGCAGAAACACACAACCUUCUAUGAGUUCCGGACCUACAGCAUUAAACCUCACCUGGUCGCCGCCUUCCUGCAGCUGACCAAUCAGAAGAUCCACCUGCGCACCGCACACUCUCAGCUCAUUGGCUACUGGGCGUGGAGUACGGCGGCCUGAACCAAGUCUUCCACAUCUGGAAGUAUGACAGUUAUCUGAGCGGGCAGCUGUGCGGGCAGCCCUCUCUCAGGACCCCUCCUGGAUCUCGGACUACAUCUCCAAGGCGAUGCCCAUGUUGUCGUCUCAGGAGAACGAGGUCACCUACCUGAUCCCCUGGCCGCCUGCAGACCCCCGCAGACGGAGGUGUGUACGAGCUGGUCUCCUACCUGAUGCGUCCCGGCGGUCCAGCUGUUUGGGGCGACGCCUUUCAGGCUGCCGUCACCUCCCAUGAUGCACCGGGGUACGGCAAGCUGGUGGGAGCUUUCAACAGCGAGUUCGGCCUGUU